rnacentral:lncRNA from 1 species
GCAUGCCCCUGGCAGGGGAUGUGAUCCGUGUCGGCCUUAUCUCGUUGACCAUUAAUGUCAGAUUUUUUUUGUCUCUCCCUCUAGAGAGAGCCGAUGCUCCGUCUUCAAGGUUCAUCAUCAUCGCCGCUGCUUCGGAGAGGUGAAGAAACCAAAAGUCUUCCCCCUCCUAAUCCUAGCGCUCACGCUCUCACCUGCACCCCUGGUCCGAACUAGGGCCCGCGGCUUCCUGCGAGAGGAGUUUCACUCUCUGAUAUUGGUAACCAUUCUCUAAAAUCCGAUAGAUUAGGAUUAUGAUACAAUGUCAAUAAAAUCUAAGAUUAUACUCUCCCGAUCCUUUUAUUUGACGCAUUGUCUCUUAUGUGUAUGGUUGAUCAUUUAUUUUAUUUAAAAAAUUGCAUAAUUAUAGGCAUGACUUAUAAUCAUUUAUUUUAUGAUUUGAUUUAGUACUAAAAACAAUAUAUGCAUGACUUAUAAUGUUGUAUGCUUUCAUAAAAAUUAAAUAAGAUAAACAAUCAAAUAUAGAUUCACAGCGUCACAUAAGAAAAACUGGACAUGGUAUUAUUGACUUUUCUACUAUUAGUGUUCAAAUGCUGGUGUACGUCUACCGUUCAUCGGCACGAGACAAAACGAAAGCUUUACACUAGCUGAAUGAGAAAAGCUCAUAGAUGGUCUGGCGAACAUGCAUGCUAGCCCCAUCCAAAUCCGGAUUAUUCCCUCUUUCCAAGUUAUAAAGUUUUUUUUGGCAUUGCCUAGAUUUAUAUGAAAGCUAAUGAAUUUAAACACAUAUAAAAAACAUAUACAUUAAUACAUAGAUGGAACUAGAUAAAUUCAGAAAGUCUUAUAAUAUAGAACGGAGAGAGUACAUACCACAUACAUUAUGAUAUAUAUAGGUCGUGUUCGGCUGGAGCGGCUAAGUUAUCUUAACCUCUCGUUUUCCAUGCGUACGCUUUUCAAACGACUAAAUAGUAUAUAUUUAGUAAAAUUUUUUUAUAGAAAGUUAUUUUAAAAAAUCAUAUUAAUAUAUUUUAUAUUUUUAAUUAAUUAUAUACUAAUCUAUUACUGUUAGGUUUUCUAUACCGGAUAAGUACUAACCCUCGCUCUCACCCAAACAAACGCGGGCCAUAGCAACACCAAUAGAGAGAGAGGGGAAGCAUGGUGGUGGGCAGUUUACCAGGGGGCGGGCUGCGAGCAGCGACUCCAUGGCCGGCCACCACCAGAUCGAUCGAUCGAUCGAUCACACGCAACUAGCUGGCCGGGAUAUACUACUGCACGUGUCCUCUCUCCGAACAACGAAUUGCCGCUCUCUUACUUUUAUAAAGGGAGGCUGGCCGUGUCCGUCCGGCGCCGGCGCGGCGAACGAGGAAAACGUGGGAAGUAGCGUCGGUCGUCGCCGUACAAAUGCUGAACUUUCUUUUGCUGUUUUACUACUCCUACGGGGUCGGGUAGGACCCGGGACGCAUGGAGCCACGUUCUUUUAUCGGAUGAAAGAUAGAUAUAAAAGAUUAUUUAUUUUUGUGAUAGCUAUUUCUUGAUAUAAAUAAUGAAAUUUAUUAUUAUAAAAUUAAAAAUCUAUUUUAGAAAUGCGAGAUCGUCAACUUAUAUAUGAAAACUUUUUAUCUUGCAAAUAUAUAUUGUUCAGUAGUUUAGGCCCUGUUUAAUUCCUAAAUUUUUUUCACAAACAUCACAUCGACUAUUUGGACAUCUAAAUGAAGCAUUAAAUAUACAUAAACACUAAAACUAAUUACACACUUAUGGAGGAAUUGUGAGACGAAUCUUUUGAGCCUAAUUAGGACGUGAUUAGCCAUAAGUACUACAAUAACCAAUAUGUGCUAAUGACGGAUUAAUUCGACUCAAAAGGUUCAUCUCGCGGUUUUCAGACGGAAUUUAAAAUUUGUUUUGUAAUUAGACUAUGUUUAAUACUUCGAAUACGUGUCAAAAACUUGAUGUGAUGUUUUUGUAAAAAUAAUUUAAACUAAACAAGGCCUUAGUAACCAUGCGUGCAAAAUCAAAAUCAAGGAAUAAUUGUUCAAAAGAAUGUAGCCCUAGUAGUAUGUACUACCUCCGUUUUGGAUCGGCAUUAGCUGCAGUUGCAGCUAUGACCGCAAGUUAAGCAGUCUUGAUAUAUCCACCAUUCAACUGAAUACCAACGGUUAGAUCAAAUGCAUCUCUUCUUUCCUUGUUAUUUUGUAUAUCAUGAAUAAAAAUAAUGCACUUAGAUAUGAUUAGGAAUAUUUACUUAGAUGGGAACUCUCGACUUAAGCAAAGUAAUAAAUUAUAUUGCUAUGAAAAGACAUAUAGCACAGUAGAUUGCAGCGACUUAAGUAGUAUUUAAGGUCUUGAAUUCAAAUUUUUAUUAUGAACAUGUAGCCUAGAGUUUGUAGUUACCUAGUCCUAAUUUCAAAUAUCCAUACCCACCUUUUUUCUUAAAAAAAAGCUCCAUAUUUCCGGUUAGAUAUAGAUACCGGGUAAAAAAACUAUUUAAUAGAAAAAAGAAAAAAUAAUAAAUCACAGUGCUAGUUUUUUGGGCAAAUAUUCACAUCUAAACAACAAAUUAUACUUUCUAGUUGCAAAACAAUUAAUUCAUGAAAUUUAUAAUAAAUUAAUUUAGGUAGGUAGCUAUAGGAAAACCGAGGGACGAGCAGCUUCUUAGAAUAAAUUAGUUUCAGUUUGCUCAGUAGCUAUAGACCGAGGGACGAGCAGCUUUACAUCCGGCCAUUGGUUACUCAUUCAAUGGUGAGAUGGAUGGACUGCUUAAGUUGCAGUCAAAGCUGCAACUUCACCUGAUCCUGAUCCCUCAGUUUUAUUAAAAAGAAUGCAGCCCUGGUUGUAUUACUUCCGUUUCAUAAUAUAAUUUUUUUAUAUUACCUAAAUUUAUAGGUUUUUAAUAAAUCAACACAUAUAUACAAACAAUAUAUACAAUUACUAUAUGAUAAUAUAAAUUUAAAAAUAGCUAACUAUCUUAUAUAUAAAACGGAAAACGGAUGAAGUAAUAUUAUUCUUAGGUUGUCUUGGAACGUACGUAAGCAUGGGGAUAUAUCGUACGUGAUCGGUCAGUUCACGUGCUUCGAACGAUUCAUGCGUACAUAUACUCAUUGACCUUGUUUUGUUGUUUUCCUGUUAUAUAUUUCUAUAUAUCUAUGCACGCAUAAAACGAAAAGUACAAUAUACACUAAGCCACGUCACCCAAAAAUCUUGACCACUGAUCAUGUUUCGGAGGACUAGAUGAAGGUCUCGAGAUUGAUCAUAUGAAACUGAAAUUAAGCAGUUGGAAAGGAAAAAAAAAAUGUUAGUAGGUGGUAGACUGGUUUUGAUCAAUUCAGUUUUAAUUAGUCUUGCUAUGCUUAUGAUCGUUUUUUUUUUCGAAGUUCCCGGAGUACCUGAAAAAAUUAUUAUUACAGAUCCACACACACACACAUAUAUAUAUAUAUAUAUAUAUUGCAGAGUGAUGGUCAUACGAAAAAAAGUAUAGUAUGAUUAGAUGAGAUAUCAUAUGUCAACCAAAGGAUUAGGGCGAAUUUGAUGUUAAAAACGUAGAUAUACGAAGUUAGUGUCCCUAAAUGGUUGUUUAAGUUAUGUAGUGAGGAUGACAUGUGGCAUAAUUUACCUAGUAGGAAAUAUAUGAAGAAUCAAAUAAUCACACAAGUUCAGAGAAAACCGGGGGACUUCACCUUUGAGCAAAGCCUAUAAAAGUUGAAGACAUGUUUUUAAGUAUGAGAACUUUUGUGAUUAAGAAUGGAAAACAUGUUAGUUUUUGGGAGGAUAGGCGGAUUGAUAAUGAUUCUUUUACAGAGCAGUAUCUGUCUCUAUAUAACAUUGUUUGCAAGAAAAAUGCAUCAAUAGCAACUGCGUUUAAUUAAUUCUGUCUCAUUAAAUGUAUGUUUUGAAGAGCUUUCUUGAGCCAAAAUAUCUUUUUUAUGAAAUUAUAUAUAAUGUAUGUACUCCAUAGUAUAAGCUAUUCUACUCCACUCUUCCAAGGCCCAUCCUACCUCCUACCCUCCUUGUUUAAAGGCUGGUGAAAGGGUUAAUCCCGUGGGUCAACCUCUUUAUGGGCUUCCCUUCAUGUCUAUAUAAGCUCACCUCUCGUUUCACAGGAAUUGUGCAGUAACACGACGACAAAAAUACAGUAACACAACGACUAAUUUACAGUAACAUCGUCAAAACAUACUCAUGAGGGAUCUACUUUUUUAGAAUAAUUUUUUUCAAACACUAUGGUACACAAGUUCUUAAAAAAUAAUAUAUGAGGUGAGAGAUAAAGUUGUUUAAAAGUUUAAAAUCUUAAGAAAUAUCUAUAUGUGCAAUAAUGAUGCGUCUCCUAUACAGUAAUAACGUUAUGUCUAUAAAAUAUAUGUAUCGUUACUGCACAAUUGCAGUAACAUCGCGAUAUAUGUGCAGUAACAUUGCGAUAUAUGUGCAGUAACAUGUGUGUUGCACUAUUGCAGUAACGUCAUGAUAAAAAUACAGUAACAUCAUGAUAGAAGUACAGUAAUAUCAUAACUUUAUAUGACUUUAUAUUGUUGUUACAGUACAACUAAUGCAUGUGCGAGAGCUCAAAAUAUUGUAUUCUCAAUCUUUAGAGAGCAAUAUCUCAUGCGUUUUAUAUUAUUUUUCAAAAUCGUUUUCACCACGUUGGUUAAAAAAAUAUGAUUUAAAAAACUAGAUCUGUCAUGACUAUAUUUUGACGCUGUUACUGUAUUUUAUAAAAAUUUUUAAUAUAAAAAAUCUAGUGAGCCAUAUAAUCGAAAUUUAGAGGUGAUUUGAUAUGUUUUUGGACCUUGACUCAUGGAGCAACCUAUGAGUUGCACACCGUAGCGCUUAUAUAUAUAUAUAUAUAUAAAGAAACAAUAGAAACCAGGGAUAUUACAUAGGUGCAGUUUCCAAAGAUUAUAUGAAGUAUAUACAAAGCUUAGAGAAUGUCCAAGAACGAAUAAAAUAGGGGCCAUGGAUAUCCAGCCUAGAGGCACGCGAGUGAUGUACCCCUCUGUAUUUUAGAUGACAUCGCUAAAUUUUUGUUACAGGUUUUAUUGUUUAUAUUAUUUAAAAAAUUUAUAUAAUUAUGACUUUUUUGUUGCGGUUGAAUUUAUAACUAAAUAUAUUUUAAGUAUAGCAAUUAAAGGUAGGAUGCUAAUGAAAUUCUAACGAGGAUGUUAUUGUUGAACGAAGUCGUUUGUAUGAUGAUGUUUCAUAGGACUCCGGCCCACUUGUCGACGAAAUUUCUUACAAUUAGAUAUUUGUCAAUGGUAUUUCUUAACUUUUUAAGUUUUUUUUACAAUUUACGUGUAAUUUAGCGUGCAACUUGCAUCCUUAUGCUAAAAGACCAUGAGUUAGUUUGGCUUGGAGCCUAAAUAGGCGUUCUCAAAUUUUUGUACAUGCGUAUAUUUUGAGAUGACCAAAAUUGGGGAAGAUCAAAUCAUGUUUUGUUAGUAGUCAAAAUUGACCAUCCCGACUAUGUGGCUGUAUGUAUGUAUGUAUGUAUGUAAGUAACAUACAUACAUACAUACAUCGCGAUAUAUAUAUAUAUAUUAGAUUCUGCUGCUAAUUGUAGCUAAUUCCUACACGUCUAGGGUGUAGAGAGACUUCCAUACCUGUUUCUACACUCAGCCAAUUAGCAUAAGUAUAAUCAGAAAGAUGAGGGUGUAAAGUAGUUGAGAUUUAGUAACUGGGCAGUAUAACCCAACAUGCUCAAUAUAAUGUUACGUUUCGCCAUUUUCUGAAAGUCACGGAAGUCGCUAACAGCGACCAUUCUAUUAUGACUUAGCACCGACAUGGCUUUAGGCAACUUCCGAGAAGAUAUGGAUGAGAAUUUUUCAACCAUAGCCUGGAAAAAUGCGCAGACUAUCAGUUCUUGUUAUUUAUAGUCCAAUAUAAGAUCAUUAAUAAUAUCUUGAUUUAUACAAUCCCAUCAAGUAACCAUACAAGAAAAAUAAAACAAAACAUAAUAUAUAAUACAGUCUUAUGUAAAACCAAUCACCACACUUGCCCAAAGUAAAGGGAGAAUAUGUGCAAAUUAGCAUGUAACUUCUAAAAAGGGACAACAUGCAAGCUACCUUCUUGGCUACUUCAGUUGAAUUGGGCACAACUACCGAGGAUGCUCCGGUCUUUAUAGUGUAUAUUGGCCCAUAAGUUUUAGACCAUUUUGCAAAUGUCGGGGCUUCUUUUCUUUCAAUUGAUGCAGAUUUUCGAUAAUGGGUAAACCAGGGAUAGUUGCAUUACAAAAAUAUUAAUAAUAUGAGUACUAAUUAAACCCCUUUAUAGUGGUGUAAAGUUUGAAAUGAGUUUUGUUGUUAAGUCGUCUCUAAAUAUUUUAAUUAACAUUCACUGAUUCUCGCUAUCUUUCCUUUCCCUGUGUCAUUUUUUAUUAGGAAUAUCAUGCUACUUGUGCACAUAGUAGUCAGUAGACGAUGACAUAUGGAGUAAAGUAAACAUACUAAGAUGAGCUAAGAGGAUUAAAUGGAUGCAUACACUAUUUUGCACUCUCAACCCACGGAAGUACUAUUGGGCUAGCCAAAUAACUAUAUAUCGAUAGUAUUUAUGUAGAUGAGCAAUUUUACGGUACUUAAGAAGAUACCAGGAGGUACCAUUUUUCUAUGUAAAAUUUUGAUACCUCUUGAUACUUUAUUGUAAAUUUGCUCAUUCUGAAAGGAUCUAGAAUAACUAUCAAAUGGAAGAAAGUAGAUGGAUGUGGACACUAGAGUAAAGGAUGAU